rnacentral:lncRNA from 1 species
AUGGGGCGUGCCUGGACCCAGGCCCACCUGAGAGGUGAUCUCUGGCUGCCUCUGCUCUGGCUUUUCCUGUCUCCAACCUGCUGUUCCCAUGACCCACCAGGAUGGCGCUUCACUUCUUCUGAAAUUGUGAUUCCCAGGAAGGUGUCCCACAGAGUGAGUGGAAUUGAGAGACAAGGCCAGCUCUCCUACAAGAUUCGCUUCAGCGGCCAAAGACAUGUGGUUCAUUUGAGAGUCAAGAAGAACUUGCUGCCCAGACAUUUUCCUGUUAUCACCGAUAACGACCAAGGUGCCAUGCAGGAGAACUACCCUUAUAUCCCCCGAGACUGUUACUACUUUAGCUACCUGGAAGGGGUUCCUGGGUCCAUGGGCACCCUGGACACCUGCCAUGGGGGUCUGCGUGGCAUGCUGCAGCUGGAUGACUUCACUUACGAAAUCAAACCAUUGGAGGCUUCUUCCAAAUUUGAGCAUCUGAUUUCUCAGCUUGUGACACAGAAAACAGCAGCAGAGGAUGAGAAAUGUGAGGCUGAAGAGAAAGAUACAAAUCAAGAGUACGAGGAGGCAAUGAUUUCUGAAAUGCCUAGAGCAGGCACUGUGUAUUUGUGGUGGCCACACAGGAAAGCCUUAAAAGUUCACUACACAGUUUCAAACUCAUUAGUUGUUCAGAACAAUAAUAUGACACGUAUAACAGAGAAUGUAGUGAUUUUGAAUAACAUAAUGCAUAGCAUUUAUUACCAGGGUCAACUUCAGGUUUUGAUACGUGUUUUAUGCAUAUGGGAUGGCGCGGAUAAGAUGAAUUUGUAUGAAUUUAAUUCAGCCUCAAAAGCAGUAACUGAUUUUGGUUUAUGGAAAUAUUGGGGAUGGUAUAAUGAAAUUGCUCAUGAUACUUCAUUGCUUAUAACAGGACAUAAGAUUGCUGGGGCCACCUAUAGUAGCAGCUUUAAUGGAGUGUGCAAUCCCAAUUGGGGAGCAUCAUAUGUAUUUGCUGCAAGAUACCACCUAUUUUUAACUGCAACUAUUGGAGCACAUGCGAUCGGUCAUGUAUUGGGUUGUCAUCAUGAUGUUCCAGGUUGUCAGUGUUUUCGGAGAAAACACUGUCUCAUGAGUCCUAACCCUGGUCUUCUAGAUAUGAUGAGCAAUUGUACUUUUGAGAGAAUUCACAUACGGUUACAUACGUGGGAUAGUUGUUUGAGUGUUCCAUAUGUACCAUACAAUAAUUUUCCUUAUAUAGCAAGACGAUGUGGUGACAAGAAGCUAGAUCCCAAUGAAGAAUGUGACUGUGGCACCUUGAAAGACUGUAGUGUGGAUCGAUGUUGCAAUUCCAAUUGUGGCCUCAGCCUUGGCAGUGAUUGUGACUUUGGAGGUUGCUGCAGAAACUGUAAAUAUGCUUAUCCUGGAUAUAUUUGCAGAGAUACUCUUGGUAUUUGUGAUCUACCAGAAUACUGUGACGGGAAGACACAUGAAUGUCCAGAUGACACUUAUAUCCAGGAUGGAACCCCGUGUUCACCAUCAGCUGUUUGUAUGAGGGGAAACUGUAGUGACCGUGAUUUACAGUGUCAAGCCCUCUUUGGCUUUAAGAUAAAAGCGGCUGCGUCAUCAUGCUACGAGGUAUUGAAUCUCAGGGGUGACCGAUUUGGAAACUGUGGUGUGAGGGUGACUAAAGGAGGAGGAAAACCUGUUCCAUGUGAACGUGAUGAUGUUAAGUGUGGAAUGCUGCACUGUAGCAGCGUGAAGGAAAUUCCUGGUGGUGGGGAGCACACUACAUUUCAUCAAAUAAUAGUACAUGAUGUUACACCGCAAACCUGCUUUGGGUAUGAUGCCCACUUCGGGACAGACGUGCCAGAAAUGGGGCUUGUAGUGGAUGGUGCAACAUGUGGCCCAGGAGCAUACUGUAAGGACCAAAACUGUACUUUUUUUCAAGACCUGGAUUUUGACUGCGAUGUCAAGAAAUGCAAUUACAGAGGGGUGUGCAACAAUAAGAAAAAUUGUCACUGUCAGCGAGGUUGGAAACCACCAAAGUGUACUGAGAGAGGACCAGGUGGCAGUGUAGAUAGUGGUCCUCCACCUGACACAGAACUAGGCAUUCGAGCCAGUCUAAGGCUGAGUCUAAACGCAGCAUUAGCUCUGCUGCUUCUUCGCCUUUGCCUUCUUUCCCUUUCAGCAUUUAUAGGUGCCACUUUCUAUGUAAAAGAUAAACUUGAAGAGAGAGAUGAAAGUGUUGAGAAAUAA